CCUACGGGUGACAGCAGUGAGGAAUAUUGGUCAAUGGACGAGAGUCUGAACCAGCCAAGUAGCGUGAAGGAUGACUGCCCUAUGGGUUGUAAACUUCUUUUAUAUGGGAAUAAAAUGUUCCACGUGUGGGAUUUUGUAUGUACCAUAUGAAUAAGGAUCGGCUAACUCCGUGCCAGCAGCCGCGGUACUACGGAGGAUCCGAGCGUUAUCCGGAUUUAUUGGGUUUAAAGGGAGCGUAGGUGGAUUGUUAAGUCAGUUGGGAAAGUUUGCGGCUCAACCGUAAAAUUGCAGUUGAAACUGGCAGUCUUGAGUACAGUAGAGGUGGGCGGAAUUCGUGGUGUAGCGGUGAAAUGCUUAGAUAUCACGAAGAACUCCGAUUGCGAAGGCAGCUCACUGGACUGCAACUGACACUGAGGCUCGAAAGUGUGGGUAUCAAACAGGAUUAGAUACCCGGGUAGUC
rnacentral:rRNA from 1 species